GAGCAUCGAUGCCGGUGGGCGCUCCAGAUCUUGGCACCGGUCUCGAAGCCUGAUCAAAGAAUUGGAUCAAAGAAUUGGAUGGAUCGAAGGGAAAAGAAUCUCAUUUUCGUUUCAUACCUCGGAUAUGCGAGGGAACCUCCGUGCGAACCACGCCGCUGGAAACCACGCCCACGCGAUCUGCGUCGCCGUCUCUCGGAUCAGACCAUAGACCAGCUCCGUGACCGGUCCCUCGAUCGUCCCAGUGAUCACCCUGCUGACCGGUCCCUCGAUCAUCCCCGUGAGCAUCUUAUCGAGCGGGCCCUCGAUCAACCCCGUGAAGCUAAGUUUGAUCACCAGCGGCGCUACCAUCGAGAUGAGCAGGGACUUGGC
rnacentral:lncRNA from 1 species